UUUGACCUCGGAUCAGGUAGGGAUACCCGCUGAACUU
rnacentral:rRNA from 1 species